rnacentral:rRNA from 1 species
AUGUGUUCGAGGAAAUUCCCCAAAUGUAUAAAAUUUCGCAAACUAUUUUGUUGUUGUUAUUUUUUUGAAUGCAUACAUAUAGAUAGCUUAUUUGCACUGUUCUAUAUACUUUGUACUGUCAGCGAUGAGGCAUACAUGUCAACUAUGGGUGUUGGCUCCAACAAUUCGCAUUGGUCUAAAACCAAUGACAUUCAUUUCGGGGACCAUGAGUUCGAGGUGGACAAGGAUGGUGAGGGCAAUGUGGAUGCACCAGAAGGAAGAGGAGGCAACUACACCAACAAAGAAGACGUCUUGCUAUGCAAAACUUGGUUGGAAGUGUCGAGGGAUCCAUCCGUUGGAGGUGAUCAAAGUAUAGAUGCUUAUUGGAAUGGAUGA